rnacentral:lncRNA from 1 species
AGUAGAGGGUGGUCUCUGCUUGUAAUCAGGCUUCAUGGCUCGCCUGGGGAUGUGGCUCGGCCUAAGAACACUUCCUAGCUGAGGGCCCCGGGCCCGAGAUGCAUCCCCAGCACCACAAUAAGACACUGGAAAAUAAACCCACGUCAUGGCUCCUCCGAGGAAGCCUGUUCAGACAGUGGUGGGAUUAGUAUGCUCCACUGGAGCGGAGGUGUGGCCUUCUGAUGUCAAAAGGUGGAGGUCAUAUACCCGCACAGACCCACAGGAAGGAGCAGUGGUUCCAACAAGUUUAAACUACCUCUAAGUUCCUGAAAACCACCUAGGCCACCUCUGCCGUGGUGAGCGGCCAACAGGGGGAGUUGCGGUGUUCCACAAAGCAAGCUGCAAAGUCUCCCAGAAGCUGAGGUCCCAGUGAGCAGUGUCCAGAGGUGAGGCUUGGGAAGUGGUCAGAGUCAGAUCAUGCAGGCUUUGGCUUCACCAGAUUAAUCCAUGGAGGGAUUUAUAACUGAAUGGAAUGUUGGAGGUGGUGAAAAACAUUGAUGGUGGGACCUAGUUGGAGGAAAAAUAGGUCACCAGGAUGUGUUUUGGAAGGGCACCCGUACGUGCACACUUACAUAUAUGUAUAUAUACACACAUAUUUAAAUAUAUAUAUUUAAAUAAUAAUUUUGGGGGGUAAUAGAGAUUUAACCGAGGAGUGCUUUACCACUGAGCCACAACCCUAGCACUUUUUUGAGACAGGGUCUUGUUAAGUUGCUUAGGUUCUUGUUAAAUUGCUGAGGCUGGCUUUGAAUUUUCAGUUUUCCUGCCUCAGCCUCCCAAGUCACUGAGAUCACAGGCAUGCACCACCACGCCUGGCUGGAAGGGUAUAUCUUGUCCCUGG